rnacentral:lncRNA from 10 species
UCUCCUUAUUCUUCAGAUUCAAUGCAAAAUGGGACUAUCAAUAUAGAACUUGCUACUUGGAGACAUUACAGUGAACCACAAGAAUUAACAAAAACGAUGACAGACCUCACAUUUUCAUCACCUGAAUCUCUCCACAUGGCUGUAUCACAUGACAUCUGAAUUUUCCAGGAGGAAAAUUCAACCAGCCAGGAGGAGGAAGAGGAGAAGGAGGAGGAGGGCAGAAGGAGAAGAGGAGGAAAAAAGGAGAAGGAGAAAGAGACAGAGAGAGAUUCCAAGAUGAAUUGCACUGUUUUAUAAACUAAUCUUAGAACUAACACCCCCAUCACUUCUUUCAUACUCUGUUUAUUGGUAGUGACUCAGCAAACACUGCCCACAUUCAACUCCACACACAAGGGAAUGGGUACCAGGAAGUGGAGGUCAUCUAGGGCCAUUUUGAAGGUCGGCUUCCACACUAAUCUUUAUAUCUGCUUCUAGCAAUAUGUUUGGCAAAGAGCCAUGAAUAUGGCUCUACAUAAUUACAAUCUUACAAGUGAAAUCACAGAAUACUGAACAAAGUAUCAUAGGUGAA